CCUACGGGAGGCUGCAGUCGAGAAUCAUUCACAAUGGGGGAAACCCUGAUGGUGCGACGCCGCGUGGGGGAUUGAAGGUCUUCGGAUUGUAAACCCCUUUCAUGUGGGCGCAAAUUAAAAAGAUAGUACCACAAGAGGAAGAGACUGCUAACUCUGUGCCAGCAGCCGCGGUAAUACAGCGUUCUCAAGCGUUGUUCGGAAUCACUGGGCGUAAAGCGUGAGUAGGCUGUUUCGUCAGUCUUGUGUGAAAGGCGCGGGCUCAACCCGCGGACGGCACAUGAUACUGCGAGACUAGAGUAAUGGAGGGGGAACCGGAAUUCUCGGUGUAGGAGUGAAAUGCGUAGAUAUCGAGAGGAACACUCGUGGCGAAGGCGGGUUCCUGGACAUUAACUGACGCUGAGGCACGAAGGCGUGGGGAUCGAACAGGAUUAGAUACCCUAGUAGUC
rnacentral:rRNA from 1 species